CCCUUAGAGUUUGAUCCUGGCUCAGAGCGAACGCUGGCGGCAGGCUUAACACAUGCAAGUCGAACGGAUCCUUCGGGAUUAGUGGCGGACGGGUGAGUAACACGUGGGAACGUGCCCUUAGGUUCGGAACAACACAGGGAAACUUGUGCUAAUACCGGAUGUGCCUCGUAAGAGGGAAAGAUUUAUCGCCUUUGGAGCGGCCCGCGUCUGAUUAGCUUGUUGGUGAGGUAAAGGCUCACCAAGGCUACGAUCAGUAGCUGGUCUGAGAGGAUGGCCAGCCACAUUGGGACUGAGACACGGCCCAAACUCCUACGGGAGGCAGCAGUGGGGAAUCUUGCGCAAUGGGCGAAAGCCUGACGCAGCCAUGCCGCGUGGAUGAUGAAGGUCUUAGGAUUGUAAAAUCCUUUCACCGGGGACGAUAAUGACGGUACCCGGAGAAGAAGCCCCGGCUAACUUCGUGCCAGCAGCCGCGGUAAUACGAAGGGGGCUAGCGUUGCUCGGAAUUACUGGGCGUAAAGGGCGCGUAGGCGGACAGUUUAGUUGGGGGUGAAAGCCCGGGGCUCAACCUCGGAAUUGCCUUCAAUACUGGCUGUCUUGAGUGUGAGAGAGGUGUGUGGAACUCCGAGUGUAGAGGUGAAAUUCGUAGAUAUUCGGAAGAACACCAGUGGCGAAGGCGACACACUGGCUCACUACUGACGCUGAGGCGCGAAAGCGUGGGGAGCAAACAGGAUUAGAUACCCUGGUAGUCCACGCUGUAAACGAUGAGUGCUAGUUGUCGGGCGGCAUGCCGUUCGGUGACGCAGCUAACGCAUUAAGCACUCCGCCUGGGGAGU
rnacentral:rRNA from 1 species